rnacentral:lncRNA from 1 species
AUGGUUUGCGCUGCUACAGACAUAGCCGUAGGGGUACAUGAGCAGCUGGGAGUAGGAGUGGACAGAAAUGAAGGCCUUGAAGUUGCCGUGGCUCUGGAUCAGGUUCACCACGUUCUUCACCUCGAUCUCAGAGUUAGCCGAGGGGCCGUGGUAGGAAUCGGAGCAGGGGUAGCUACUGGCACCGGGACCACCAAAGCCUGCAUCCCAGUUCCUGUUUGGAUCGACUCCACGGCACGCAUAGCCAGGGUUCACAGAGCGGGUCUUGCGCCACAUCCUAUCCUUGGUGUGGGAGAAAACAUAGCCAUCAGGGUUGGCAACGAUCAGCAUGUAAAUAUCCAUGGUGUUCAGGAGGGAAGUGAGGGAGGCGUCGGUACCGUAAUCCGUGGCAAUCUUGUUGGCGGUCCACACUCCAGUAGCCUGAGUAACCCAUUCUCUGGCGUGGAUACCAGUGUCAAUCCAGAUAGCAGGGCGAUUGUUACCACCGGUGCUGAACUAAACACAAACACAGAUUCAGACAUGCUUUUACAUUUUGCUUCUAAAGGUGCAGUCAAUCAUGAUUAA